AUUAGAAGAGCCAAUUCUGAGGAAAAAUGUUUACAAAAGUAAUAUGAAGCGGUUCAAUACAAAUUUUUGUGCCAAUUUGUACGCCAUAUCAUUUGCAGUACGAGAAAUAAAAAAUUAGGAAAAACUUGUGAAUUCUUCAUUGUCGGUGUGGAAUUCCUCCAAAUAAGUUGAAAAUGCUGGUCAUUCGGUUGGAAAAGACACUAUCUUCACCAGGUCUGAACAGUCUGUACAAAAUGCUACUUCUUUGUUGUCGAUACCAAUCAUACACUUCAUCGCCCAGAGUAGAGCUUCGACUUCUGUAUAGAGGAGAGAAAGACUUCUACGCAUAUUAGCAGCUCCCAUGGUUGGCGAGUCUCCAUUUGAUGAUGUGUAGAACCACCCUAAUCUAGAAAACUUAUCGCUUCCUUUCCAAGAUCCGUCCACAAAACAACGAAAACCAGAAUAAAUAUUAUCAUAUUAUAUUUUUUCGACCCGAAUUUGUUUUUCCGAUCCCAUGGAACCGUGAUUUUUGGUAUUGAGCUAACUACCACGAUUGUGCCUCUUUUUCUGCUAAACAUAAUACGUCUAACGGUUUUUAUCCAUAUUUUCAAAUAUUUUUUCGUUUCUUGCUUUCCAAAUAUACCAAAUUAUCCAUGGAUAUGAAGAUUAAUCAAAUUCUGAAGGUAGGAUGUUU
rnacentral:sRNA from 1 species